UACAGAGGUCUCAAGCGUUGUUCGGAUUCAUUGGGCGUAAAGGGUGCGUAGGCGGCGCGGUAAGUCGGGUGUGAAAUCUUGGAGCUUAACUCCGAAACUGCAUUCGAUACUGCCGUGCUUGAGGACUGGAGAGGAGACUGGAAUUUACGGUGUAGCGGUGAAAUACGUAGAUAUCGUAAGGAAGACCAGUGGCGAAGGCGGGUCUCUGGACAGUUCCUGACGCUGAGGCACGAAGGUCAGGGGAGCAAACGGG
rnacentral:rRNA from 1 species